rnacentral:pre_miRNA from 1 species
GAUAACCUCAUUUUUCGUUUUCCAUUUUGAACGUUUGAACAUUUGUCUUAUUUAAAUUUUUUACGAUUAAUAUUUUUAUUAUUACUAGGUGAUAAAAUAUGAAUAUUACUUUAUAUGUGACUAACUUUUUAAAGUUUUUUUACAAAUUUUUCAAAUAAAACGAAUGGUCAAUUGGACAUGAAAAA